ACGGCCUCACUUGAGAGGGUUAGGGCUGUGGAGCCGCGGAUGGCCGCCCUGACCGCUCCUGGAUGUGUCCCUCCUGGAAGCGUCCCUCCGAGCACGCAAGAAACGGGUCAUGGGACUGGAAGGGGCAGAGGCAGUGCAUCUGGUUUGGGGCUUGAUGGGCCCCUUUCAAGACUGCUGUGAGCUCAUCCCUGUCCUGCUCCAGGUCCUCACUAUGUAGCCCAGGCUGGUCUCGAACUCACAGCGAUCCUCCUUCCUCAGCCUCUCCAGUGCUGGGAUUACAGGCGUGUGCCAACACACCAUGCUGGCUUAGUGUGACCCCCUGGUGGAAAAUGAGUGUGGUAAAGCGGUACACACUCAGAGGAAAACGCAGGAAAUGUCCCAGACUCAACAGUGUCAUCUACGGAGGGCUCAGAUUAGGGGAAUUUUAACUUCUUGCAUUCUGUAUGUUUCUGUGAUGUUAAAGUGUUUAGCACUGCGUGUGUAAUACUUUGGCAAUUAGAAUGGCCAACAAAAAAGAACGGUUUAGAAGAGAGGGGGCCCUCCGCCCCUCACCAUCACUUUUUCUACACUUUCUGUACAGCCCCCAAGCUGGUGCCGGGAACCCUGUUCCCCUGUAACCAGAGAGUGUUUUUGUAUCCUAGAAGAUUUUGUUCUGAGUUGUGCAGCAUUAAUUAUUAAAGAGCUGCUUUCAGUCCUGUCAGCCAAGUUUAAUGGUUAGUCUGAGGACUGAGAAAAUAAAGUGUUUGUCCCUUGACUUUGCACUCUGUUGCUUAGGUGUUUAGAAAGAAAAAGGAGGAAGGGAAAGAGAGAAAAGAAGAUGGGGGAAUAGCGCCAUUUUGUUUUGUUGACUGUCUUGGGGCCAAGAUCCAAAAGACUUUCCUGUUGUGGCAGUUAUGCUGCUUUCCUUCUCUCCCAGCCUAGGGGAGAAGGCUGCUGUGCUAACAGUUACUGACCCAGGGAGGGAGGGUGACUGAGUUGCAAAAUGAAAGCUAAAAAUUUGAGGAUGGCUGAUAGAGAAGGGAGCUAGGGACAGCAGAAGGUAGCUUCUAGGAGGAAGUGGCUGGAGGGAACGGGACCCGGGAGCAGACAGAGUGCAGGACCUGCAGUGCUGUCCCCAACUUUGAGAGAGAGUUGGGGUCCCGCCCUAGCUGUGCCCUGGGCUCAGAGAGGCCCAACCUACUGCAGCUCUGGACUCUGCCCAGGAUUUCCACUGAGCUGAGAAGACCGGCCAGAGUGCAAGGGUUGGACCCAAAGUGUCCCACAAAAACCCAAGCUUCUGUCUCUCUGAGAGCCACCUCUUCACCUCGAAUCUCAGGAAGCUCUGGCCCAUGGAGGACGACACUCAGGGACAAAGAGAGUCCAUCUCCCUCACACCCAUGGCCCUAGGUGUGGACAAUGCAGGGGCUGAGUUCUUGGAAAGCCUGGAGGAAGGCUGGCUCCCUGGCAGCAGCGACUCAAGCUCCCACCAAGGCAGGCACACUGUGGAGAGGAAGGGCCUUUGCGGAUGGAGAAGCCUGCAUCGGGCCUGGCAAGGAAGACCUAGCACACUCUUCCGAUGGAUGGGCACAGGCCUGCUCUGUACUGCAUACUCUGCCUUCCUGCUCGCUGCCUGUCUUCUGGACUUCCAGAGGGCCCUGGCACUUUGCAUUGUCACCUGUGUAGUCCUGGCCUUCCUGGCCCACAGCCUGCUGAAGAGGUGUUUGGGCCCAACGCUGAAGGGGUGCGUGAAGCUUCAGGGUCACCCUCGCCUGCACCUCUGGUUUAACCGAGCUCUCGCCCUCACUGCAGUUCUGGCCCUGGCCUUGUGGCUGGGGCUGGACACCUCCCAGAGGCCUGAGCAGCUGGUGUCCUUUGCAGGGAUCUGCGUGUUCCUCUCUGUCCUCUUUGCCUGCUCGAAGCAUCGCCACGCUGUGUCCUGGCGGGCCGUAACGUGGGGCCUUGGUCUCCAGUUUCUGCUUGGAUUCUUCGUCAUCAGAACAAAACCCGGUUUUAUUGCGUUCCAGUGGCUGGGUGAUCAGAUUCGCAUCUUCCUGAGUUACGCCACAGCGGGCUCUGGCUUUGUGUUUGGGGAGGCUCUGGUCAAGGAAGUCUUCGCCUUUCAGGUUCUGCCCAUCAUUGUUUUCUUCAGCUGUGUCAUGUCAGUGCUGUACUAUAUGGGCCUGAUGCAAUGGGUGAUCCUGAAGAUUGCCUGGCUCAUGCAGAUCACCAUGGGCACCACGGCCACCGAGACCCUGAGUGUGGCAGGAAACAUCUUUGUGAGCCAGACCGAGGCCCCCCUACUCAUCCAGCCUUACCUGGCAGACAUGACACUCUCUGAGGUCCACGUGGUCAUGACCGGGGGCUACGCCACCAUUGCCGGCAGCCUAUUGGGUGCCUACAUCUCUUUUGGGAUCGACGCCAGCUCACUGAUCGCGGCAUCCGUGAUGGCCGCCCCGUGUGCCUUGGCCCUGUCCAAGCUGGUCUACCCCGAGGUGGAGGAGUCCAAGUUCCGCAGUGAGGAAGGAGUGAAACUGAGCUGCGGAGACGCUCAGAACCUCGUAGAAGCCCUCAGCAGUGGUGCUGCCGCCUCCGUGAAAGUUGUUGCCAACAUUGCCGCCAACCUGAUCGCAUUCCUGGCUGUGCUGGCCUUCGUCAACGCAGUGCUGUCCUGGCUGGGUGCCCUGGUGGACAUCCCGGGGCUCAGCUUCCAGCUCAUCUGCUCCUACGUCCUGCGGCCUGUGGCCUUCUUGAUGGGUGUGCCAUGGGAGGACUGCCCAGUGGUGGCCGAGCUGCUGGGGAUCAAGCUCUUCCUGAACGAGUUUGUGGCCUACCAGGGGCUAUCUGAGUACAAGCAGCGUCGCCUGGCCGGGGCUGAGGAGUGGGUUGGUGCCAGGAAGCAGUGGAUCUCGGUCCGAGCAGAAACCCUCACAACGUUUGCCCUCUGUGGAUUUGCCAACGUCAGCUCCAUUGGCAUCAUGCUGGGCGGCCUGACCUCCCUGGCCCCCCAUCGGAGGAGUGACUUUGCCAGGCUUGUGCUGCGGGCACUCUUCACGGGCACCUGUGUGUCCCUCGUCAACGCCUGUGUGGCAGGCAUCCUCUAUGCGCCCAGGGGACCCGAGACCGGGUGCGGGGGCCUCCUGAACAGCACGCUCAGCAGCAGCAGCUUUGAAGUGUAUUGGUGCUGUCGCAGGGCCUUCCAGAGCACCAGCCCAGAGUUGAGCCUAGCCGCAAGGGAAAACUGCUGUCGGUUUUACAACCACACUGUCUGUGCCUGAUGCCUUUGCUCCUCCCCACAGAACAUCUGUCCUCAGCUUCCCUCUCCAAGCCACUCCUCAGCAAGUUACACGGCCUGGGCCUCCCCAGUGCCACAACUGGGAAGGGGAGAAGGGCACUCUCUGGCUGAGGUGACUGCUGUGUACCCUGUCUCCAUGGGCCUCGAGGAAGUGCACCUUCACCCCGCCUGCCACCUGACUCUUUCCCACGUAGAGGGAACCCAGGGUCCUGGGCAGCAGCAGGUCCCACUUCUGCUCUCCAUGUACUGUGCUUCCAGUGGGCACUGGCCUUGUCCCUGCGGCCUGAGUCCCUAAGCCUAACCUUAACCCUUAGGCUUGGCCUGACUCACACACCUGGCCAGGCCCUUGCCCUGUACCCUGCUCCCCUCCUCCGGGCGGUCCGGGGCCUCCCUGCCUGUCUGUUGGCCUUGGUGUCACCCACUGGGUCACAGACAGUCCAAGGACAACCUGCCCCUCAUCUGGAAGACUUGAGCCCCUGGGCACAAGGCUCAAGAUGCUUCUGCUCCCCCCAUAGUACCUAGCGCAGUGCUCCACCCGUGAGAGGGGCCAGGUGUCUGUGGAACUGAACUGCAGCAUCUCGCAGAGGUCCCAGCAUGCAGACCUCACGUGUGUGCAUAGACUGCGGUUCCGACCCAGGAGACAGACAAGAGUUAAGGGCUCCUUAGUCCCAGCACAGUGGAUUUACCCCUCUCCACACCCACCGCACUCCUUCUUUCUCUUGUACUCUCAGGAAUCGGGGCUGCAGUUAUGCAUUCCUUAGAGGAAUCACUGAUGCUGGUGCCAGGUGUGCAUGCAUUAGUGGUCUCUGGAUAGCAGCUCCUAAGUCAGGUUGCCAUAGAAGUCACCCCAUCGCUUCCACAGCCAUGCCAGGCAUUCCUAAUCAA